UCAGAUGCUGAGAGACCCAGCGGUGGACGUCCAGAGAGCAGAGAUGCUGAGAGACCAAGCGGUGGACGUCCAGAGAGCAGAGGUGAGUUGCACAUUGUCACACAUUGCACACAGUAGACUUUGCUGCUUUCCUCAUGUGUUUGUUUGUUUGUUUGUUUGUGUCAGAUGCUGAGAGACCAAGUGGUGGACGUCCAGAGAACAGAGGUGAGUUGCACAUUGUCACACAUUGCACACAGUAGACUUUGCUGCUUUCGUCAUGUGUUUGUUUGUUUGUUUGUUUGUUUCAGAUGCUGAGAGACUCAGCGGUGGACGUCCAGAGAGCAGAGGUGAGUUGCACAUUGUCACACAUUGCACACAGUAGACUUUGCUGCUUUCCUCAUGUGUUUGUUUGUUUGUUUGUGUCAGAUGCUGAGAGACCCAGCGGUGGACGUCCAGAGAACAGAGAUGCUGAGAGACCAAGCGGUGGACGUCCAGAGAACAGAGAUGCUGAGAGACCCAGCGGUGGACGUCCAGAUAGUAGAGAUGCUGAGAGACCCAGCGGUGGACGUCCAGAGAGCAGAGGUGAGUUGCACAUUGUCACACAUUGCACACAG
ensembl:lncRNA